rnacentral:rRNA from 1 species
AUUGAACGCUGGCGGCAGGCCUAACACAUGCAAGUCGAGCGAGCGGCGGACGUGUGAGUAAUGUAUGGGGCUCUGCCCGAUAGAGGGGGAUAACUACUGGAACCGUUGGCUAAUACCGCAUACUAUCGGAUGAACCCAUAUGGGAUUGGCUAGUAGGUGGGGUAAAGGCUCACCUGGGCGACGAUCUCUAGCUGGUCUGAGAGGAUGACGAGCCAAAUUGGAACGGAGACACGGUCCAGACUCCUACGGGAGGCAGAAGUGGGGAAUAUUGCACAAGGGGGGAAAGCCGGAUGCAGCCAGGCCGCGUGUAGGAAGAAGGCCUCCGGGUUGUAAAGUACUUUCAGAGAGGAGGCGUUACCCGAAGAAGAAGCACCGGCUAACUCCGUGCCAGCAGCCGCGAUAAUUC